UGGGGAAUAUUGGACAACGGGGGGAACCCUGAUCCAGCCAUGCCGCGUGUGUGAAGAAGGCCUUAUGGUUGUAAAGCACUUUAAGCGAGGAGGAGGCUCUCUUGGUUAAUACCCAAGAAGAGUGGACGUUACUCGCAGAAUAAGCACCGGCUAACUCUGUGCCAGCAGCCGCGGUAAUACAGAGGGUGCGAGCGUUAAUCGGAUUUACUGGGCGUAAAGCGUGCGUAGGCGGCUUUUUAAGUCGGAUGUGAAAUCCCCGAGCUUAACUUGGGAAUUGCAUUCGAUACUGGGAAGCUAGAGUAUGGGAGAGGAUGGUAGAAUUCCAGGUGUAGCGGUGAAAUGCGUAGAGAUCUGGAGGAAUACCGAUGGCGAAGGCAGCCAUCUGGCCUAAUACUGACGCUGAGGUACGAAAGCAUGGGGAGCAAACAGG
rnacentral:rRNA from 1 species